rnacentral:rRNA from 1 species
GACGAACGCUGGCGGCGUGCCUAACACAUGCAAGUCGAACGGAGCCAGCCCCUUCGGGGACUGACUUAGUGGCGGACGGGUGAGUAACGCGUGAGAAACCUGCCUUUCAGUGGGGGACAACAGUUGGAAACGACUGCUAAUACCGCAUAAUGUUAUUUGGGGGCAUCCCCGAAUAACCAAAGCUUUAUGUGCUGAAAGAUGGUCUCGCGUCUGAUUAGCUAGUUGGUGAGGUAACGGCCCACCAAGGCGACGAUCAGUAGCCGGCCUGAGAGGGUGACCGGCCACAUUGGGACUGAGACACGGCCCAAACUCCUACGGGAGGCAGCAGUGGGGAAUAUUGCACAAUGGGCGAAAGCCUGAUGCAGCAACGCCGCGUGAGGGAAGACGGUUUCGGAUUGUAAACCUCUGUCUUUGGUGAAGAUAAUGACGGUAGCCAAGGAGGAAGCCACGGCUAACUACGUG